GCCAAAAGCCUAGCCUAACAACCAUGAAUUCUACCAAAUCAAUUAACCUGCACAAAUAAAGCAUUUUUACAUUAUAGUAGAGGCGAUUGAAAAAUUUUUAUAGAGCUACAACAAGAGUACCGUAAGGGAAUGGUGAAAUAUAUAAUGAAAACUUAAAGCAACAGAAAGUAAAGAUUACCCCUUGUACCUUUUGCAUCAUGAUUUAACAAGUUUAACCAAGCAAAACGCAUUUAAGUUUGACUUCCCGAAACUAAGUGAGCUACUUCGGGGCAGCCAAAUAGGGCAAACCCGUCUCUGUUGCAAAAGAGUGGGAUGACCCCAAAGUAGCGGUGACAGACCUAACGAACUUAGUGAUAGCUGGUUACUCAAGAAGCGGAUCUUAGUCCAACCUGAAGCACUUUAAGUAUUUCAAAACAAUCAUCAAGCCUUCAGAGUAAUUCAAAUAAGGUACAGCCUAUUUGAAGCAGGAGACAACCUUUACCAACGGAUAAGACCAGCUACACCGACAACCAAGUUGGCCUAAAAGCAGCCACCUUUUAAACAGCGUCGAAGCUUUAUUGUCUUUAUGCUUAAUCCCCAUAUUUUUAUCUUAAUCCUCCAUCAACAUUGAGUAAUUCUAUAAUAUUAUAGAAAGUUUUAUGUUAAAAUUAGUAACAAGAAGAAGACCCUUCUCUUCAAUGUAAGUGUAAAUCAGAAAGGACAAACCACUGAUACUUAACACCUAUGAGCUUGAAAGUAAAAACAAAUCAAGAAAACUCUACUUUUAUUUAUGUUAACCUAACACAAGAACAUUUUAAGAAAGAUUAAAAAAAAAAGAAGGAACUCGGCAAACCCUAGCCUCGCCCUGUUUACCAAAAACAUCGCCUCUUGAACUAACCAUAGGAGGUCCAGCCUGCCCAGUGACUCUGUUCAACGGCCGCGGUAUCCUAACCGUGCGAAGGUAGCGUAAUCACUUGUUCUUUAAAUGAGGACUAGUAUGAAUGGCACCACGAGGGCUACACUGUCUCCUUUUUUUAAUCAGUGAACUUAAUCUUCCCGUGAAGAAGCGGGAAUAAACCUAUAAGACGAGAAGACCCUAUGGAGCUUAAAACAACAUAGCACUUGCCACAUAACACAAAAAUUUCUGAAUACCCUAAUUUUUCAAAGCAACAUGACUAUAAGUUGGUGGUUGGGGUGACCGCGGAGCAUAACACAACCUCCACGUUGAACGAACUUUAUUCUAAUGCCACGAACCACUCUCCUAAGCAUCAAUACAUUGACAUUAAUUGACCCAAUAUAUUUGACCAACGAACCAAGUUACCCUAGGGAUAACAGCGCAAUCCACUUCAAGAGCCCCUAUCGACAAGUGGGUUUACGACCUCGAUGUUGGAUCAGGGUCUCCCAGUGGUGCAGCCGCUGCUAAAGGUUCG
rnacentral:rRNA from 1 species